rnacentral:rRNA from 1 species
GACGAACGCUGGCGGCGUGCUUAACACAUGCAAGUCGAACGAAGAGCGAUGGAAGCUUGCUUCUCUCAAUCUUAGUGGCGAACGGGUGAGUAACGCGUAAUCAACCUGCCCUUCAGAGGGGGACAACAGUUGGAAACGACUGCUAAUACCGCAUACGAUCUAAUCUCGGCAUCGAGGAUAGAUGAAAGGUGGCCUCUACAUGUAAGCUAUCACUGAAGGAGGGGAUUGCGUCUGAUUAGCUAGUUGGAGGGGUGACGGCCCACCAAGGCGAUGAUCAGUAGCCGGUCUGAGAGGAUGAACGGCCACAUUGGGACUGAGACACGGCCCAGACUCCUACGGGAGGCAGCAGUGGGGAAUCUUCCGCAAUGGACGAAAGUCUGACGGAGCAACGCCGCGUGAGUGAUGACGGCCUUCGGGUUGUAAAGCUCUGUUAAUCGGGACGAAAGGCCUUCUUGCGAAUAGUGAGAAGGAUUGACGGUACCGGAAUAGAAAGCCACGGCUAACUACGU